rnacentral:lncRNA from 1 species
CGGCAAGUCCAUGCUGGAGUCAGGAAAAAGAAGCCAGAGUUCCUGAACCUCAGCCCACUGCACUCCCAGCAUGCCCGUCAUAACACACUGUGCAGAGUGGUCAAGUGUAGACAGGAGACAUAAACACUAGGUAAUUCUGGAUGCACCGAGGUGAGCAGAGAGACCAGCUGCUAGAACACUGAGGACUCGGAUGAGUAGCGCUGGGGAUGUACCACCAGCAUGUUGGGGCGCCUGGCUGGGAUUACACGUUGGGCUAAUCAGAGAGGCCAUCAGGACUAUUGACAUCCAUCCAAAUACUUUCUGCUGGGCUGUGACAAAGAGAUUGCAAAUGAGCACAGCACAAUAAAGAUAAGUGUGAC